AGAGUUUGAUCCUGGCUCAGGACGAACGCUGGCGGCGUGCUUAACACAUGCAAGUCGAACGAGACGAUUGAAAGCUUGCUUUUGAAAGUCGAGUGGCAAACGGGUGAGUAACGCGUAGACAACCUGCCGUAAAGAUGGGGACAACAGUCCGAAAGGACUGCUAAUACCGAAUGUUGUAAAUCUUCUGCAUGGGAGACUUACUAAAGGUGGCCUCUACUUGUAAGCUAUCGCUUUACGAUGGGUCUGCGUCUGAUUAGCUGGUUGGUGGGGUAACGGCCUACCAAGGCAACGAUCAGUAGCCGACCUGAGAGGGUGACCGGCCACAUUGGGACUGAGACACGGCCCAAACUCCUACGGGAGGCAGCAGUGGGGAAUAUUGCACAAUGGGGGAAACCCUGAUGCAGCGACGCCGCGUGAGCGAUGAAGUAUUUCGGUAUGUAAAGCUCUAUCAGCAGGGAAGAAAAUGACGGUACCUGACUAAGAAGCACCGGCUAAAUACGUGCCAGCAGCCGCGGUAAUACGUAUGGUGCAAGCGUUAUCCGGAUUUACUGGGUGUAAAGGGAGCGUAGACGGAGUGGCAAGUCUGAUGUGAAAACCCGGGGCUCAACCCCGGGACUGCAUUGGAAACUGUCAAUCUAGAGUACCGGAGAGGUAAGCGGAAUUCCUAGUGUAGCGGUGAAAUGCGUAGAUAUUAGGAGGAACACCAGUGGCGAAGGCGGCUUACUGGACGGUAACUGACGUUGAGGCUCGAAAGCGUGGGGAGCAAACAGGAUUAGAUACCCUGGUAGUCCACGCCGUAAACGAUGACUACUAGGUGUCGGGCAGCAAAGCUGUUCGGUGCCGCAGCAAACGCAAUAAGUAGUCCACCUGGGGAGUACGUUCGCAAGAAUGAAACUCAAAGGAAUCGACGGGGACCCGCACAAGCGGUGGAGCAUGUGGUUUAAUUCGAAGCAACGCGAAGAACCUUACCUGCUCUUGACAUCUCCCUGACCGGCAAGUAAUGUUGCCUUUUCUUCGGGACAGGGAUGACAGGUGGUGCAUGGUUGUCGUCAGCUCGUGUCGUGAGAUGUUGGGUUAAGUCCCGCAACGAGCGCAACCCCUAUCUUUAGUAGCCAGCGGUUUGGCCGGGCACUCUAGAGAGACUGCCAGGGAUAACCUGGAGGAAGGUGGGGAUGACGUCAAAUCAUCAUGCCCCUUAUGAGCAGGGCUACACACGUGCUACAAUGGCGUAAACAAAGGGAGGCAGAACCGCGAGGUCGAGCAAAUCCCAAAAAUAACGUCUCAGUUCGGAUUGUAGUCUGCAACUCGACUACAUGAAGCUGGAAUCGCUAGUAAUCGCGAAUCAGAAUGUCGCGGUGAAUACGUUCCCGGGUCUUGUACACACCGCCCGUCACACCAUGGGAGUCAGUAACGCCCGAAGUCAGUGACCCAACCGUAAGGAGGGAGCUGCCGAAGGUGGGACCGAUAACUGGGGUGAAGUCGUAACAAGGUA
rnacentral:rRNA from 1 species